rnacentral:rRNA from 1 species
ACGGAAGGCAGCAGUGAGGAAUAUUGGUCAAUGGGCGGAAGCCUGAACCAGCCAAGUCGCGUGAGGGAUGAAGGUAUUAUGUAUUGUAAACUUCUUUAGACGCAGAGAAAUAAGGGGCUCGAGAGCUCUGAUGCUAGUAUGCGUAGAAUAAGGAUCGGCUAACUCCGUGCCAGCAGCCGCGGUAAUACGGAGGAUCCGAGCGUUAUCCGGAUUUAUUGGGUUUAAAGGGUGCGCAGGCGGCUUUUUAAGUCAGUGGUCAAAUAGCGGUGCUCAACGCCGUCCCGCCAUUGAUACUGGAGAGCUUGAUUGCGGUCGAGGUUUGCGGAAUUCGUCGUGUAGCGGUGAAAUGCAUAGAUAUGACGAAGAACACCGAUUGCGUAGGCAGCAGACCAGUCCGUAAAUGACGCUCAUGCACGAAAGUGCGGGGAUCGAACAGGAUUAGAUACCCUGGUA